rnacentral:misc_RNA from 1 species
UUUCCGUAGGUGAACCUGCGGAGGGAUCAUUACAGAGUUCAUGCCCUACCGGGUAGAUCUCCCACCCUAUGUUAUUAUUACUUUGUUGCUUUGGCGGGCCGUUAGGCUCCGGCCCGACUACCGGCCCCGGCUGGUAAGCGCCCGCCAGAGGACCCAAAACCCUGAAUAUUAGUGUCGUCUGAGUACUAUAUAAUAGUUAAAACUUUCAACAACGGAUCUCUUGGUUUUG